rnacentral:rRNA from 1 species
GGAGUCUGGGCCGUAUCUCAGUCCCAAUGUGGCCGUUCAACCUCUCAGUCCGGCUACUGAUCGUCGACUUGGUGGGCCGUUACCCCGCCAACUAUCUAAUCAGACGCGAGGCCAUCUCAGAGCGAUAAAUCUUUGGCGUCGGUACCAUGCGAUACCAACGCAUCAUGCGGUAUUAGCAGCCGUUUCCGGCUGUUGUCCCCCUCUCCAAGGCAGGUUCCUCACGCGUUACUCACCCGUCCGCCACUUUCCUCUGCUUCCAUUGUCCGAAAACUCUUUCCACAGAUUCUCGUUCGACUUGCAUGUGUUAAGCACGCCGCCAGCGUCGUCCUCGAGCCACUGAUCAAACUACU